UUUCACUGCGUUCAGCGCUUUUACGCCUAAACGGUGGUGCAACAUCCGAACGAACUUUUUCUUUAAUUAAUUCAUUUGUUUAUAACGAAAAACAAAUACAGAUGCGCCAGCAAUUGAUGCAGAUGGUUUUACGACAGGUAUAUGGUGAACAUUGGCGAGACGAAGAGCUAUAGUCGCAAAUUGAAUGCGCCGAGGUGUGAUAUUACGAAUAAGUGAAAACAUUUCUCUUAAAUAAUGCAAACUAUAUUAUGUAUAUAUUUUAUGCUUUUUUUUUAUGUAAGCAGCUAUUUUAGCACUACACUUUUCAAUGAUUACUCAAUCAGGCGGAUAAACAUGAAAUGCAGUCCGAAAUUGAAAAAAUGCCUUUUUAGGAAAAUUGCGCAGCUUUUUAAGAAAGACUCGCUAAUUUACUCAUCCAAUAAUGAAACGUCAACUCAAAGCAAUACCUAGAUGAAGUACAUUUGUAUAUGUUAAUAAUAAUUAAUGCAAAACUA